rnacentral:rRNA from 1 species
GAUGAACGCUGGCGGCGUGCCUAAUACAUGCAAGUCGAGCGAACGGACGAGAAGCUUGCUUCUCUGAUGUUAGCGGCGGACGGGUGAGUAACACGUGGAUAACCUACCUAUAAGACUGGGAUAACUUCGGGAAACCGGAGCUAAUACCGGAUAAUAUUUUGAACCGCAUGGUUCAAAAGUGAAAGACGGUCUUGCUGUCACUUAUAGAUGGAUCCGCGCUGCAUUAGCUAGUUGGUAAGGUAACGGCUUACCAAGGCAACGAUGCAUAGCCGACCUGAGAGGGUGAUCGGCCACACUGGAACUGAGACACGGUCCAGACUCCUACGGGAGGCAGCAGUAGGGAAUCUUCCGCAAUGGGCGAAAGCCUGACGGAGCAACGCCGCGUGAGUGAUGAAGGUCUUCGGAUCGUAAAACUCUGUUAUUAGGGAAGAACAUAUGUGUAAGUAACUGUGCACAUCUUGACGGUACCUGAUCAGAAAGCCACGGCUAACUACGUGCCAGCAGCCGCGGUUUAUACGUACGUGGCCAGCGUUACCCGGAAUUUUUGUGCGUAAAGCGCGCGUAGGCCGUUUUUUAAGUCUGAUGUGAAAGCCCACGGCUCAACCGUGGAGGGUCAUUGGAAACUGGAAAACUUGAGUGCAGAAGAGGAAAGUGGAAUUCCAUGUGUAGCGGUGAAAUGCGCAGAGAUAUGGAGGAACACCAGUGGCGAAGGCGACUUUCUGGUCUGUAACUGACGCUGAUGUGCGAAAGCGUGGGGAUCAAACAGGAUUAGAUACCCUGGUAGUCCACGCCGUAAACGAUGAGUGCUAAGUGUUAGGGGGUUUCCGCCCCUUAGUGCUGCAGCUAACGCAUUAAGCACUCCGCCUGGGGAGUACGACCGCAAGGUUGAAACUCAAAGGAAUUGACGGGGACCCGCACAAGCGGUGGAGCAUGUGGUUUAAUUCGAAGCAGCGCGAAGAACCUUACCAAAUCUUGACAUCCUUUGACAACUCUAGAGAUAGAGCUUUCCCCUUCGGGGGACAAAGUGACAGGUGGUGCAUGGUUGUCGUCAGCUCGUGUCGUGAGAUGUUGGGUUAAGUCCCGCAACGAGCGCAACCCUUAAGCUUAGUUGCCAUCAUUAAGUUGGGCACUCUAAGUUGACUGCCGGUGACAAACCGGAGGAAGGUGGGGAUGACGUCAAAUCAUCAUGCCCCUUAUGAUUUGGGCUACACACGUGCUACAAUGGACAAUACAAAGGGCAGCGAAACCGCGAGGUCAAACAAAUCCCAUAAAGUUGUUCUCAGUUCGGAUUGUAGUCUGCAUCUCGACUACCUGAAUGCUGGAAUCGCUAGUAAUCCGUAUAUCAACAUUGCUACGGUGAAUACGUUUCCCGGGUCU